rnacentral:rRNA from 1 species
GACGAACGCUGGCGGCGUGCUUAACACAUGCAAGUCGAACGGACAGGCCCUGCUCUUGCGGGGUGCUCGAGUGGCGAACGGGUGAGUAACACGUGAGUAAACUGCACCUGAAUUUGGGAUAACUUCACGAAACUCGGGCUCAUACCGGAUAGGAGCUCCUGCUGCACGGUGUGCGUUGGAAAGUUUCGGCGGUUCGGGAUGGAAUCGCGGCUUAUCCGCUUGAUUGUGGGGUAGUUGCUUACAAAGGCUUUGACGGGUAGCCGGCAUGAGAGGGUGACCGGCGACAAGGGGACUGAGAGACGGCGCAGACGGCAACGUGAGGCAGCAGGGGGGAGUAUGGCGCAAUGGGCGGAAGCGUGAGAUGGCAAUGCCGGGUGCGGGAUGACGGCCUUCGGGUUGUAAACCUCUGUCGCCGUAGAUGAAGCGUGAGUGACGGUAAUGGGUAAAGAAGCACCGGCUAACUACGUG